rnacentral:rRNA from 1 species
UACGUAGGGAGCAAGCGUUGUCCGGAAUCAUUGGGCGUAAAGAGCGCGUAGGCGGCCCUGUAAGUCCGCUGUGAAAGUCAAGGGCUCAACCCUUGAAUGCCGGUGGAUACUGCAGGGCUAGAGUCCGGAAGAGGCGAGUGGAAUUCCUGGUGUAGCGGUGAAAUGCGCAGAUAUCAGGAAGAACACCCGUGGCGAAGGCGGCUCUCUGGGACGGUACUGACGCUGAGACGCGAAAGCGUGGGGAGCGAACAGG